GUUUCCGGAUGAUAACUCAAGAACGCUUAGGCCUAGGAUCAUGAAACUUCAUAGGUACAUUGAUCAUGACUCGCAGAUGACCCCUAUUGAUUUUGAGGUCACUAGGUCAAAGGUCAAGGUCACGGUGACCCGAAAUAGUAAAAUGGUUUCCGGAUAACUCAAGAACGCUUAGGCCUAGGAUCAUGAAACUUGAUAGGUAGAUUGAUCAUGACUCGCAGAUGACCCCUAUUGAUUUUCAGGUCACUAGGUCAAAGGUCAAGGUCACGAUGACCCGAAAUAGUAAAAUGGUUUCCGGAUGAUAACUGAAGAACGCUCAUUCCUAGGAUCAUAGAACUUGAUAGGUAGAAUGAUCAUGACUCGCAGAUGACCCCUAUUGAUUUUCAGGUCACUAGGUCAAAGGUCAAGGUCACGGUGACCCGAAAUAGUAAAAUGGUGUCCGGAUGAUAACUCAAGAAUGCUUAUGGCUAGGAUCAUGAAACUUCAUAGGUACAUUGAUCAUGACUGGCAGAUGACCCCUAUUGAUUUUCAGGUCACUAGGUCAAAGGUCAAGGUCACAGUGACAAAAAACAUAUUCACACAAUGGCUCUCACUACAACGGAGAGCCCAUAUGGGGGGCAUGCAUGUUUUACAAACAGCCCUUGUUAAUUU